ACUAACUGGGGACUUUGGGUUAGUUGGAUUGUUCUUUAUUUUGGUAUUUCUCUCUAAAAUAACAGAUGACAACAUUACCAAUAAUCAGUAAUCAUGUCGUUGUUUGUUAACAGUUAAAAUAACUUUUAACUGAAGUUUAAUUUCCUGUUUAUCACUGCUGGUUGUUAUGAAGAGUUACUGCUCCUCUGAUCUCUGUUGUCACAGUGUUUCUGGUUCUACUGGAGUCUUUCUAUCUCCUCCUCCACCUCCUCUUCCUCCUCCUCCUCCUGAUGAAGCUGUAACAGGUUGGUUGUGUUGCUGUCAGAUAAGAUGUCUGGGUGUCCCAGAGAUCUUCCAGGUCCAGCUGCAGCGUGAGAAACCCUCCAAUCAGAGCAGUCCAGUGGAGCUGUGACUCAUCAGGAAACAACUCACCUGAGUUUUUCUACGUCGACAUUUUGGACUGUUUGAAGAAACUGACCCAUCAGAGACCAGACCCUGCUGAAGCUGAACCUGAACCUGAACCUGAACCCAGCUGUGUUUCCAUGAAGAGUGUCCAGUCCAUGGAGACACCACUACUUUAAAAAGAAGGCGAUCUGUAAGGGAGAUUAAAAUGGAGAACAGUGUGAGGGAGCGAAUUGAAAUGGAGAGAGGAAGAUGGAGGUGAGUUGUUGUGAAACCUCCAGCAAACUAGAAGUAGUGUUGUCUCAUUGGGUGUGUGGUCUUCUUGUAGAGGGUCUCAGUGUUUCCAGCCCACUGUAGCCUGUCGUCCAGGUGCACUCUGGGAUAUCUAUGGCCCUGUUUUCACCUGGUAUUAAGAUCUGAUCUGAGUGAUCUCUCAGACCACCCCGGCUCUCUGUUCCCUACUGGUACCUGGAAAAGGUGGCCACCGGUAUACAAUAAUCUUAUUAUUAGUUUCAUAAAACGUCCCCAAAUUCACCAUACGCAAAGGCCUUGUGGCGCUCCCAAUGAUGUCAUUUCACUGAUGCCACCUAUAGUUUAAGCUGUCUGAGCCUUCUUGUCACAUGUCACUCUCAGUGUCUCUUAAUGGGAGCAGUCUAACAGCUGGUGAUAUGGUUGUCAGCUGAUUACAGAGAUCAAAGGGAUCUCUGCUGUGUUUACAAACAUGGUCACUGAUUAGUAAGC